GCCUUCGUGGAUCAUGGAGAUCACCCACUUGCUGUAGUUGAAACAUUUGCUUUCUGGUGGGAGGUGGGGGUUCGAUUCCCUCCGAGGGCA